rnacentral:rRNA from 1 species
UACGAAGGGUGCAAGCGUUACUCGGAAUUACUGGGCGUAAAGCGUGCGUAGGUGGUUUGUUAAGUCUGCUGUGAAAGCCCCGGGCUCAACCUGGGAAUGGCAGUGGAUACUGGCAAGCUAGAGUGCGGUAGAGGGGUGUGGAAUUCCCGGUGUAGCGGUGAAAUGCGUAGAGAUCCGGAGGAACACCGACGGCGUAGGCAGCGCCCUGGACGACACCUGACGCUGAGGCACGAAAGCUGGGGGAGCGAACAGG